rnacentral:rRNA from 1 species
CCUACGGGAGGCUGCAGUGGGGGAUAUUGCACAAUGGGGGGAACCCUGAUGCAGCGACGCCGCGUGGGUGAAGGAGCGUUUCGGCGCGUAAAGCCCUAUCGGCAGGGAAGAAGAUGACGGUACCUGACCAAGAAGCCCCGGCUAACUACGUGCCAGCAGCCGCGGUAAUACGUAGGGGGCAAGAGUUCUCCGGAUUUACUGGGGGUAAAGGGGGCGCAGACGGCAAUGCAAGACAGGAGUGAAAGCCGUGGGCUCAACCCCGGGACUGCUCGUGAAACUGUAUGGCUGGAGUACAGGAGGGGAAGGCGGAACUCCUAGUGUAGCGGUGAAAUGCGUAGAUAUAAGGAAGAACACCGGUGGCGAAGGCGGCCUGCUGGACUGCGACUGACGUUGAGGCCCGAAGGCGUGGGGAGCGAACAGGAUUAGAUACCCUAGUAGUC